rnacentral:rRNA from 1 species
UGCAGCACGCCGCGUGAGGGACGACGGCCUUUCGGGUUGUAAACCUCUUUUAGUAGGGAAGAAGCGAAAGUGACGGUACCUGCAGAAAAAGCACCGGCUAACUACGUGCCAGCAGCCGCGGUAAUACGUAGGGUGCAAGCGUUGUCCGGAAUUAUUGGGCGUAAAGAGCUCGUAGGCGGUUUGUCGCGUCUGCUGUGAAAACCCGAGGCUCAACCUCGGGCCUGCAGUGGGUACGGGCAGACUAGAGUGCGGUAGGGGAGAAUGGAAUUCCUGGUGUAGCGGUGGAAUGCGCAGAUAUCAGGAGGAACACCGAUGGCGAAGGCAGUUCUCUGGGCCGUAACUGACGCUGAGGAGCGAAAGCGUGGGGAGCGAACAGGAUUAGAUACCCUGGUAGUCCACGCCGUAAACGUUGGGCGCUAGAUGUGGGGACCAUUCCACGGUUUCCGUGUCGCAGCUAACGCAUUAAGCGCCCCGCCUGGGGAGUACGGCCGCAAGGCUAAAACUCAAAGGAAUUGACGGGGGCCCGCACAAGCGGCGGAGCAUGCGGAUUAAUUCGAUGCAACGCGAAGAACCUUACCAAGGCUUGACAUAUACGAGAACGCUCUAGAAAUAGAGAACUCUUUGGAC